UACGGGGGGAGCAAGCGUUGUUCGGAUUUACUGGGCGUAAAGGGCGCGUAGGCGGUCGUGACAAGUCACUUGUGAAAUCUCCGGGCUUAACUCGGAACGGUCAAGUGAUACUGUCGGACUAGAGUACAGAAGGGGCAACUGGAAUUCUCGGUGUAGCGGUGAAAUGCGUAGAUAUCGAGAGGAACACCUGCGGCGAAGGCGGGUUGCUGGGCUGAUACUGACGCUGAGGCGCGAAAGCCAGGGGAGCGAACGGGGAUUAGAACC
rnacentral:rRNA from 1 species